UACGAAGGGGGCAAGCGUUGUUCGGAAUUACUGGACGUAAAGGGCGCGUAGGCGGCUUACCAAGUCAGGCGUGAAAUUCCCGGGCUCAACCUGGGGGCUGCGCUUGAUACUGGUGAGCUUGAAUGCGGGAGAGGAUAGUGGAAUUCCCAGUGUAGAGGUGAAAUUCGUAGAUAUUGGGAAGAACACCGGUGGCGAAGGCGGCUAUCUGGCCCGUAAUUGACGCUGAGGCGCGAAAGCCAGGGGAGCAAACGGG
rnacentral:rRNA from 1 species